rnacentral:lncRNA from 1 species
CUUCAGAUGUCUGCCUGCAGCACACGUCAGGAUGCUGAAUUUAUUAGUGUUUCCUCUUCUCCAGUGCCGGCUUUCCUUGAACCACAUUAUCAUAUGCCACAGCAGAAGCAAGUUGUGUUGGCAGUAGGAAACAAGAUAAAGCGAAGAACUCAACUGAGAGAAGGUUUUGAACAUGAUGAUGGAGAAAUAACACUCUUGGGAGAAAUGAAGAUACUUUUUCCUCCCUGGUUUACCUGAUUUUCCAGCACCCAGUGAUAAGAGAGGAUGGCAUUCAUGAUGUGUACACCUGCAGUGAUAUCUUCACCUUUCUAAAACAGAUGCCAUGGUAGACAUUUUGCCAGCCCUCCUUUCACCAUACACACAGCUUGGUGUACCCUGGCAGACCUUUUACCUAAUUUCUUAACCCUCCUAUAUUCCAAGACAGAAUUAAGCACAUGGUAAAACCUGAAUGAGUCUGGGCUCAGUGGCUCAUGCCUAUAAUCCCAGCACUUUGGGAGGCCGAGGGGUGGGCAGAUCACUUGAGGUCAGGAGUUUGAGACCAGCCUGGACAACGCAGUGAAACCCUUUCUCUACUAAAAUACAAAAAUUAGCUGGGCAUGGUAGCUUGCACCUGUAAUCCCAUUGGCUCUGAAGGCUGUGGCAGGAGAAUCAUCUGAACCUGGGAAGUGGAGAUUGCAGUGAGCUGAGAUUGUGCUACUGCACUCCAGCCUGAGCGGCAGAGCAAAACUCCAUCUCCAGAAAAAAAAAAAAAAAAGAAAACCUGAGGUCAGACAUGGUGGUUCAUGCCUGUAAUCCCAGCACUUUGAGAGCCUGAGGUGUGGGCAGAUAACUUGAAGUCAGGAGUUUGAGAACAACCUGGGCAAUGUAGUAAAACCCCAUUUCUACUGAAAAUACAAAUUAGCUGGGUGUAGUAGCAGAUGCCUGUAAUCCCAGAUCUGGGGAAGCUGAGACAUGAGAAUUGCUUGAACCAAGGAGGAGGAGGUUCCAGUGAGCCAAGAUUGUGCCACUGCAUGCCAGCCUGGACAACAGAACAAGAUUCCAUCAUAAAAACAAACAAACAAAAAACUGAAUGAAUGGAAGCAGAUACGUGCAGAGAGAAACAUUGAUUUAACUUCAGGAAGAUAGACAGCUAGUAUUUUGGUAUACUUGUGUAUUGCUAUCUACUAGUAUAUCUUCAAUUGUUGUAUGGAUAUAGAACUACUGGAUUGUUCUUUAUGUGAUUACUCCUUCCCAGUUUUAGUAAAAUAUUCCAAUUUAAG